rnacentral:rRNA from 1 species
AACGAACGCUGGCGGCAGGCUUAACACAUGCAAGUCGAGCGAGACCUUCGGGUCUAGCGGCGGACGGGUGAGUAACGCGUGGGAACGUGCCCUUCUCUACGGAAUAGCCCCGGGAAACUGGGAGUAAUACCGUAUACGCCCUUUGGGGGAAAGAUUUAUCGGAGAAGGAUCGGCCCGCGUUGGAUUAGGUAGUUGGUGGGGUAAUGGCCCACCAAGCCGACGAUCCAUAGCUGGUUUGAGAGGAUGAUCAGCCAUACUGGGACUGAGACACGGCCCAGACUCCUACGGGAGGCAGCAGUGGGGAAUCUUAGACAAUGGGGGCAACCCUGAUCUAGCCAUGCCGCGUGAGUGAUGAAGGCCUUAGGGUUGUAAAGCUCUUUCAGCUGGGAAGAUAAUGACGGUACCAGCAGAAGAAGCCCCGGCUAACUCCGUG